GUGGGGAAUCUUAGACAAUGGGCGCAAGCCUGAUCUAGCCAUGCCGCGUGAUCGAUGAAGGCCUUAGGGUUGUAAAGAUCUUUCAGUGGGGAAGAUAAUGACUGUACCCACAGAAGAAGCCCCGGCUAACUCCGUGCCAGCAGCCGCGGUAAUACGGAGGGGGCUAGCGUUGUUCGGAAUUACUGGGCGUAAAGCGCACGUAGGCGGAACAGAAAGUCAGAGGUGAAAUCCCAGGGCUCAACCUUGGAACUGCCUUUGAAACUCCUGGUCUUGAGGUCGAGAGAGGUGAGUGGAAUUCCGAGUGUAGAGGUGAAAUUCGUAGAUAUUCGGAGGAACACCAGUGGCGAAGGCGGCUCACUGGCUCGAUACUGACGCUGAGGUGCGAAAGCGUGGGGAGCAAACAGGAUUAGAAACCCGGGUAGUCC
rnacentral:rRNA from 1 species